GGUAGUGUAGCCAAGUGGUUACGGCGUCACGUUUAGGCCUUUCAGACUACCACCGUGAUGGGUUUCCCGCGCGAGUUCGAAUCUCGUCACUAUCA
rnacentral:tRNA from 1 species